AUUGAACGCUGGCGGCAUGCCUUACACAUGCAAGUCGAACGGCAGCACGGGAGCAAUCCUGGUGGCGAGUGGCGAACGGGUGAGUAAUAUAUCGGAACGUGCCCAGUCGUGGGGGAUAACGCAGCGAAAGCUGUGCUAAUACCGCAUACGAUCUACGGAUGAAAGCGGGGAUCGCAAGACCUCGCGCGAUUGGAGCGGCCGAUAUCAGAUUAGCUAGUUGGUGAGGUAAAGGCUCACCAAGGCGACGAUCUGUAGCUGUUCUGAGAGGACGACCGGCCAGACUGGAACUGGGACACGGUCCAGACUCCUACGGGAGGCAGCAGUGGGGAAUUUUGGACAAUGGGCGAAAGCCUGAUCCAGCAAUGCCGCGUGCAGGAUGAAGGCCUUCGGGUUGUAAACUGCUUUUGUACGGAACGAAACGGUGAGCUCUAAUACAGUUUGCUAAUGACGGUACCGUAAGAAUAAGGAUCGGCUAACUCCGUGCCAGCCGCCGCCGUAACAC
rnacentral:rRNA from 1 species